GAUGAACGCUGGCGGCGUGCUUAACACAUGCAAGUCGAACGAAGCACUUUAUUUGAUUUCCUUCGGGACUGAUUAUUUUGUGACUUAGUGGCGGACGGGUGAGUAACGCUUGGGUAACCUGCCUUGUACAGGGGGAUAACAGUUGGAAACGGCUGCUAAUACCGCAUAAGCGCACAGCAUCGCAUGAUGCAGUGUGAAAAACUCCGGUGGUAUAAGAUGGACCCGCGUUGGAUUAGCUAGUUGGUGAGGUAACGGCCCACCAAGGCGACGAUCCAUAGCCGACCUGAGAGGGUGACCGGCCACAUUGGGACUGAGACACGGCCAAAACUCCUACGGGAGGCAGCAGUGGGGAAUAUUGCACAAUGGGCGAAAGCCUGAUGCAGCGACGCCGCGUGAGCGAAGAAGUAUUUCGGUACGUAAAGCUCUAUCAGCAGGGAAGAUAAUGACGGUACCUGACGAAGAAGCACCGGCUAAAUACGUG
rnacentral:rRNA from 1 species